rnacentral:rRNA from 1 species
UGGGGGAUAUUGCACAAUGGGCGAAAGCCUGAUGCAGCGACGCCGCGUGGGGGAUGAAGGCCUUCGGGUUGUAAACUUCUUUUGCUCUGAACAAGGCAUGCUAAUGGGUGUGUUGAGUGUAGGGGUUGAUUAGCGCCGGCUAACUACGUGCCAGCAGCCGCGGUAAUACGUAGGGAGCGAGCGUUGUCCGGAAUUAUUGGGCGUAAAGGGCUUGUAGGUGGCUGGUUGCGUCUGUCGUGAAAGCUCAUGGCUUAACUGUGGGUUUGCGGUGGGUACGGGCUGGCUUGAGUGCAGUAGGGGAGGCUGGAAUUCCUGGUGUAGCGGUAGAAUGCGCAGAUAUCAGGAGGAAUACCGGUGGCGAAGGCGGGUCUCUGGGCUGUUACUGACACUGAGGAGCGAAAGCAUGGGGAGCGAACAGG